GUUCUCUUCGGCAGCAUAUAUACUAAAAUUUGAACAAUACAGAGAUUAGCCUGGUCCCUGUGCAAGAAUGAUACGCAAAUUCGUGAAGUGUUCCAUACUUUU